rnacentral:lncRNA from 1 species
UUUUCAAAAGAUAACUCUCAUACGAGACAAAAAUAAACCAAACAACUACGCAGUCCUCGGAUCAGACCACGGCACCGGUCCGAGUCGCAAGUGAAAAUCAGAGUAGCCGAACUUUCGUAAAUACUCUAAUAGACAAAUUUUUGCGGCGAGUUGCAAAAAUAAGAUAUGAUUUCGGGACAAGAUCAGCACGCGCGGCAACAAGUGCACAAAAAUAAUGUCCUGAGGAGAUGAGUCACAAUUAGAGGGAAACACCGAUUAGUCGCCUAAUAAUACCUACCAACAGUGAUCCGUUCGCAUCUCGACAUACUCUAUAAAUUUGCGGCACUCAUACUUCAUUUGCUAGUUGGUUACCUCUGCAACAUUUUCGCACACUAUUUUCAGUGUCUUCAGUCUCGUGUUUUUUUCAAGUCGUUUAAGUGUCCACCGCGGAAAAAUGCGUUGCUUUAUUUUGCUGACUGUGUGCUGUGCCACCGCUUACUGUGCCAGCAUUUCCACGAAAGAUGCUGAGAGCAAAACCCCCAGCCCGACGGUUGUGGAAGAUAAGAAAACCACCGAGUCCGAGACACCCGAAAAAGCCGGAAAGCCAGUCCCUCUUCCUGCGGACAAAAUCGCCGAGCUAAUCAGCAGGACCCACCAGAACAAGAAGACAAACGCCCCGGAAAAAUCUGGCGAAGCCCCCGCGAAGAGCAAGUCAGGCAGUGGCUCGAGCCAGCAGGGUAAGAAGACAGUUGAAGCCCAGGUCGAGAAAGAGAGCAGCGUUGAGGUAGAGGGAAAGAAAACAAGCUCCCAGAACCGUCCUUCCAAAGUUGGGGGAGCACAGGCGAACCAACGGACCCAGACGAAGAAGGAAGCAAAAUCCGAGGAGGUGACCACCCGUGCCCAAAAGAAGGAAUCGACCUCUAAAGCUCCAGCCCAAGCGAAAGAAUCUGCAUAAUUGCUGCAGGAAUGAAGCAAGAUAGAAUCAACUCUUUGGUUGAGUCCUCAAAAUGUUCCGAAAAUUAGCUUUUGAAAUGUUCGGAAAGUUGUCCGAAUCACUCUCGUGAAUUUCUCAAUGGACGAUGACGAUACGAAGAAAUUUUGACUGGUGAAGUACUGGCGGAUGGGAGCUUUAUAGACCUCUGACCAAUUGGAUGCACCGAAAAAAUAUGUAGAAAGUAGAGGGGUAACAACUUCCGUUCUUGAGAAACUAUCUUGUUGCCUUCGUUACAAGCCAAAUUCGAAAGAUGUUUUUGCAUUGUUUACACAGGCAAUCUUGUCCCGAACUAUGAUGACGUAAUUCAGCGGAAAAAGUACAGCCGCAUUUCGGCGAACUGCUUUUAACUUUAAGUUGAGCCUUCUUCCACGAAAUAAACAAUGAUGUUUCCCUUUGACUGUACACAAGUUAGAAUAGAGUUACUUCAUGUAGUUCGACGAUAGUUUGCCUCGAUAAACGAUGUGGAAAGUUUAAGUGAUAAUAUUAUACCUUUUAGACUGUUGUAAUUUUUGUAAAAGUUUUAGAUACGGUGUGUUUCAGUGAUCGAUUUCCAGCCUCUCAGUGUGAAAGGUUUGUUCAUAUUUACUGUAAGAGAAAGGAACUUGCCAUGUCAAAAAAAUAAAAAACAACAAAAAUAAAUAAAAUAAUAAAAAAUAAAAACGAUUCUAUAAGAACGCAACCCACUCGCUUUUUUUUAAAUUUUAAUCCCCUAAAAGUAUUACAACAUUGUAAACAGUUUUUAUAAAGCGAUUUUUAUAUUCAAGU